GUUUGGGGAGGGGCCAGCUUUAGGCCUAUUCCCCCGAAUCAGGCCCUGCACCUUAAAGAAGAGCGCCUAGCUUAGGCGCCUUUAUAAUUUUUACUCACUCGGCGGCGCUCCAGCGGCGGGUCCUUCA